UUUUUCGGGGAAGGAUGGAUAGCCUGUGCUGAAGCUCAGGCAUAUGAAGUCGUGUAUAUGUGCUGUAUACUGGACGCUUACUGGACCUGGUUAGGUAAUUAGGAAUUAUGCUAUCAGGUGGAUGGCUCGGCUCAAGAGCUUAUGAAGGACGUGCCAAGCUGCGAUAAGCCCGGGGUAGGUGCAUGGAGCCAAUGAACCCGGGAUUUCCGAAUGGGACCUCUCCGUAGUGAUCAUUCAUGAUCGGGAACGCUCCGAAUUGAAACAUCUCAGUAGGAGCGGGAAAAGAAAUCAAUUGAGAUGCCGUAAGUAACGGCGAGUGAAACCGGCACAGUUCAAACCGAAUCCCUUCGGGGACAUGUGGUGUUGUAGGGCUGUUCAAACGUCUGGCGGUAAAAUCGAACUUGCCUGGAACGGCAGACCAUAGAGUGUGACAGUCACUUAGAUGUACGCCAAAAGACCGGAACAUGUCCCUGAGUACCGUGCGUUGGAUAUCGUGCGGGAAUUUGGGGGGCACCAACCUCCAAAACUAAAUACUCCUUGAGACCGAUAGCGAAAUAGUAGGGUGACCGAACGCUGAAAAGUACCCCGAGAAGGGAGGUGCAAAGUGCCUGAAACCUGAUAGUGAUGGAACGAUACGGCAUGAAAGGAUCUCUGGCAUGAAGGAAUCAUUCGCGAGGAUGUAGUACGAAUGUCACUGCCAGUGUCGUAUCUUACGUUUUGAAGAACGGGCCAGGGAGUGUAUCUUGGUGGCAAUGGCUAACCUUUUAUCUGGGCAGCCGAAGCGAAAGCAACAUGUGCGCAGCCUUUUGGCGAGGCACGACGUAUACAAGUGCGUGGAGUCACCGGGGUACGACCCGAAGCCGGGUGAUCUAGGCGUGGGCAGGUUGAAGCGUGGCGAAAGCUACGUGGAGGACCGUAAACGGUAUUGAUCUGCAAAUCAUUCGUGUGACCUGCGUCUCGUAGUGAAAUGCUAAUCUAACCCGGCAUCCGCUGGUUCCUUCCGAAACAUGUCGCAGCAUGACCUGACUUGAGAUCGUCGGUGGAGUAGAGCACUGAUUGGCGAUUCCGGGGGAGAAAUCCCUCGCUCGCUUGUCAAACUCCAAACCCCCCGUCAUCCUAGAAAGUCGGAGUCCGGACUGCUGGGGUAAGCUUGUAGUCCGUAAGGGAGACAACCCAGCCCGUGGUUAAGGUCCCCAAGUGUCGACUAAGUGUUAAUACUAAAGGGCGUCCCAAGCCCCAGACAGCUGGAAGGUUAGCUUAGAAGCAGCUACCCUUCAAAGAGUGCGUAACAGCUCACCAGUCGAGGUUUGGGGCCCCGAAAAUUGACGGGGCUCAAGUCGACCACCGAUACCACGGAGUACCGCAAGGUAAUCUCGUAGGAAGGCGUUGUGUUCGGGUCGAAGCAGGGCUGUGAAGUCCUGUGGACCGUUCACAAACGAAAAUCCUGGUAAUAGUAGCAGCAAAGCAGGGUGAGACUCCCUGCCGCCGAAGGGGCCAGGUUUCCUCGGCAAUGUUCGUCAGCCGAGGGUUAGUCGGUCCUAAGACGUACCGUAAUUCGAGUACGCCGAAAGGGAAACAGGUUAAUAUUCCUGUACCAUUUAGCGUUUAGUCUGACGUCUCAGGGCAAGCCGAGCGGCGUCGUCGCGCCGUCUAAGCAGCGAACCCCGUGGAGAGCCGUAAUGGCGAGAAGCGGGCGAAUCUGUAAUGGCACAAGUCGGCUUCACCCCGGGACCCGUGAAAAGGACAGCUAAAUGUCCGUACCGAGAACUGACACAGGUGCCCCUAGCUGAAAAGGCUAAGGCGUGUCGGAGUAAUUCAGUUAAGGGAAUUCGGCAAAUUAGCUCCGUAACUUCGGGAUAAGGAGUGCCUGCUGUGUAGACAGCAGGUCGCAGUGACCAGGGGGCUCUAACUGUCUAAUACCAACAUAGGAGAUUGCAAACCCGUAAGGGCUAGUACAAUCUCUGAAUCCUGCUCAGUGCAGGUACCUGAAACCCCGGUUCAACGGGAAGAAGGGCCUGUAAACAGCGGGGGUAACUAUGACCCUCUUAAGGUAGCGUAGUACCUUGUCGCUUAAUUGGCGACUUGCAUGAAUGGAUCAAUGAGAGCCCUACUGUCCCUAACUGGAGUCCGGUGAAGCUUACAUUCUAGUGCACAGUCUAGAGACCUCUAGGGGGAAGUGAAGACCCCGUGGAGCUUUACUGCAGCCUGUCGUUGGGUUGUGGUUCUGGAUGUACAGUGUAGGUAGGAGGCAUCGAAGCGGGUGCGCCAGCAUUCGUGGAGCCGUCCUUGGGACACUACCCUUCCGGGACUACGACCCUAACUCUGAGAAGAGGACCCCGAUAGGUGGGCAGUUUGCCUGGGGCGGGACGCCCUUGAAAAGAUAUCAAGGGCGCGCAAUGGUUGACUCAAGCGGGUCGGAAACUCGCUGAAGAGUGCAAGAGCAUAAGUCAGCCUGACGUUAUUCAGCACAGCAGUGGAUGACGAGACGAAAGUCGGCUCUAGCGAACUUUUGAGCCUCCUUGGUGGGGGCCAAAAAUGACAGAAAAGUUACCCCGGGGAUAAUUGAGUCGUUGCCGGCAAGAGUACAUAUCGACCCGGCAGCUUGCUACCUCGAUGUCGGUUCUUUCCAUCCUGGCCGUGCAGCAGCGGCCAAGGGUGAGGUUGUUCGCCUAUUAAAGGAGAUCGUGAGCUGGGUUUAGACCGUCGUGAGACAGGUCGGUUACUAUCUACUAGAGGUGCCCGAGGUCUGCGGGUAAGCUGCUUUUAGUACGAGAGGAACCAAGCAGCGGCGCCACUGGUGUACCGGUUGUCUGACAAGGCAUCGCCGGGCAGCUACGCGCUCAGGAAUAAGAGCUGAAUGCAUCUAAGCUCGAACUCUGACCUAAAAAGAGACCUCUUUAAGGAUUCCGGUAAAAGACCGGUUUGAUAGAAACGGGAUGUAAGCACCAAGGCAACGAGGUGUUCAGUCCGCGUUAACUAACCAUUCGUUCCUUUCACUU
rnacentral:rRNA from 1 species